rnacentral:tRNA from 1 species
GGCGCGGUGGCUAAGCGGUAAAGCGCCUGGCUUCCGAACUGGGUCCAGGGUUCGAAUCCUGCUGCCUUU